CGGGAGCUUGCUCCCUUAGGUCAGCGGCGGACGGGUGAGUAACACGUGGGUAACCUGCCUGUAAGACUGGGAUAACUCCGGGAAACCGGGGCUAAUACCGGAUGCUUGAUUGAACCGCAUGGUUCAAUCAUAAAAGGUGGCUUUUAGCUACCACUUGCAGAUGGACCCGCGGCGCAUUAGCUAGUUGGUGAGGUAACGGCUCACCAAGGCGACGAUGCGUAGCCGACCUGAGAGGGUGAUCGGCCACACUGGGACUGAGACACGGCCCAGACUCCUACGGGAGGCAGCAGUAGGGAAUCUUCCGCAAUGGACGAAAGUCUGACGGAGCAACGCCGCGUGAGUGAUGAAGGUUUUCGGAUCGUAAAACUCUGUUGUUAGGGAAGAACAAGUACCGUUCGAAUAGGGCGGUACCUUGACGGUACCUAACCAGAAAGCCACGGCUAACUACGUGCCAGCAGCCGCGGUAAUACGUAGGUGGCAAGCGUUGUCCGGAAUUAUUGGGCGUAAAGCGCGCGCAGGCGGUUUCUUAAGUCUGAUGUGAAAGCCCCCGGCUCAACCGGGGAGGGUCAUUGGAAACUGGGGAACUUGAGUGCAGAAGAGGAGAGUGGAUUCCACGUGUAGCGGUGAAAUGCGUAGAGAUGUGGAGGAACACCAGUGGCGAAGGCGACUCUCUGGUCUGUAACUGACGCUGAGGCGCG
rnacentral:rRNA from 1 species